rnacentral:misc_RNA from 1 species
AAGUCGUAACAAGGUUUCCGUAGGUGAACCCUGCAGACGGAAUGACAUUCAAUUAUGUAAACCCGGGAAUUCCGGGUUUCGUGGCAGGUGAGAGCUUGUCGCGGGUCGCGAAGGGAAUAUCAUACACCCUGUGUUAAUUUACCUUUGUUGCUUUGGCGGGCCGUCCGCAAGGCGUCAGCUCCGGCUGACCGCGCCCGCCAGAGGACCCAAACUCUUUUAUCAGUGAUGUCGAGUACUAUAUAAUAGUUAAAA